UACGUAGGGUGCUAGCGUUGUCCGGAUUUAUUGGGCGUAAAGGGCUCGUAGGCGGCGUGUCGCGUCGGGAGUGAAAGCCCGCUGCUUAACGGCGGGUUGGCUUCCGGUACGGGCAUCGCUGGAGUGCGGCAGGGGAGACUGGAAUUCCUGGUGUAGCAGUGAAAUGCGUAGAUAUCAGGAGGAACACCGGUGGCGAAGGCGGUUCUCUGGGCCUUACCUGACGCUGAGGAGCGAAAGCGUGGGGAGCGAACAGG
rnacentral:rRNA from 1 species